rnacentral:rRNA from 1 species
UAAUACGGAGGGUGCAAGCGUUAAUCGGAAUUACUGGGCGUAAAGCGCACGCAGGCGGUUUGUUAAGUCAGAUGUGAAAUCCCCGGGCUCAACCUGGGAACUGCAUUUGAAACUGGCAAGCUAGAGUCUCGUAGAGGGGGUAGAAUUCCAGGUGUAGCGGUGAAAUGCGUAGAGAUCUGGAGGAAUACCGGUGGCGAAGGCGGCCCCCUGGACGAAGACUGACGCUCAGGUGCGAAAGCGUGGGGAGCAAACAGGAUUAGAUACCCUGGUAGUCCACGCUGUAAACGAUGUCGAUUUGGAGGUUGUGCCCUUGAGGCGUGGCUUCCGGAGCUAACGCGUUAAAUCGACCGCCGUGGGGAGUACGGCCGCAAGGUUA